rnacentral:rRNA from 1 species
AUUGAACGCUAGCGGGAUGCUUUACACAUGCAAGUCGAACGAGUGGCGGACGGGUGAGUAAUAUAUCGGAACGUGCCCAGUCGCGCGGGAUAACUACUCGAAAGAGUGGCUAAUACCGCAUACUAUUGGACCGGCCGAUAUUGGAUUAGCUAGUUGGUGGGGUAAAGGCGCACCAAGGCAACGAUCCGUAGCUGGUUUGAGAGGAUGACCAGCCACACUGGGACUGAGACACGGCCCAGACUCCUACGAGAGGCAGCAGUGGGGAAUUUUAGACAAUGGGUGAAACCCUGAUCCAGACAUCCCGCGUGUAUGAGAAGGCUUUCGGAUAGUAAAGCACUUUUGGGAGAGAAGCGGUAUCUGCCGAAUGAGCACCGGCUAACUACGUGCCAGCAGCCGCGGUAAUAC